GUCAUCCUCCACCAACACUUUAAACUGAUAGGACUCUGAAGGGUGUUUUAUUAAUCGUUCUCUUUAACUUAAAAG
rnacentral:tRNA from 1 species